rnacentral:rRNA from 1 species
AUUGAAGGCCUUCGGGUCGUAAACCACUGUCAUGAGGGAAGAAUACCCGGAUGGCGAAUCCGGGGGUGACGGUACCUCAAGAGGAAGCCCCGGCUAACUCCGUGC